UUGAAUACGAUUGGUACUGAUGCUGGCUCUUCACAGAGCAUGUGCUCGUCCAUCUAUUUAUCUUCUCUUGUGCACAUCUUGUAGUCUUGAAUGAAACCUCUCGCAGUCAAUGCGGUUUGGGAGUUUGUUAACCCUUCUCCUGCUUCUUCAAGGCUAUGUUUUCAUAUACACUAUAAAGUUACAGAAUGUCUUUUAAAGGCUUGCGCUUGUCGCAGUCAUUAAACCUAUA
rnacentral:misc_RNA from 1 species